AGGCGGAGGAUUGGGAGGAGGCGGUGGAUUAGGCGGAUUUGGUGGGCAUCACGGAGGUGGAGGAUAUCACGGAGGUGGAGGAUAUCACGGAGGUGUAGGACAUCACGGUGGACGUCCUAGUUGGGGUGGCGGACGUCCAGGAGGAUGGGGCGGUGGACGUCCCGGAGGUUUUGGCGGAGCAUCUUGGAGCAAAGCCUCAGCGUCAUCCGGUUCUUUUGGACGCGGCUACGGUCGUUGAUUUCUACUUCUCUCUCUUCCUAAGCGAGUCAAGGUUUUGUAAAUUUUGUAAUAAACAAAUAAUAAAGACAAACUAUUAUUUA